AUUGAACGCUGGCGGCAGGCCUAACACAUGCAAGUCGAACGAGUGGCGGACGGGUGAGUAAUGUCUGGGAAACUGCCUGAUGGAGGGGGAUAACUACUGGACACGGUAGCUAAUACCGCAUCCCAUCAGAUGUGCCCAGAUGGGAUUAGCUUGUUGGUGGGGUAACGGCUCACCAAGGCGACGAUCCCUAGCUGGUCUGAGAGGAUGACCCACCACACUGGAACUGAGACACGUGCCAGACUCCUACGGGAGGCAGAAGGUGGGAAUAUUGCAACAUGGGCGCAAGCCUGAUGCAGCCAUGCCGCGGGUAUGAAGAAGGCCUUCGGGUUGUAAAGUACUUUCAGCGGGGAGGCGUUACCCGCAGAAGAAGCACCGGCUAACUCCGUGCCAGCAGCCGCGGUAAUAC
rnacentral:rRNA from 1 species